UACGAAGGGGCUAGCGUUGCUCGGAAUCACUGGGCGUAAAGCGCACGUAGGCGGAUUGUUAAGUCAGGGGUGAAAUCCUGGAGCUCAACUCCCAGAACUGCCUUUGAUACUGGCGAUCUCGAGUCCGGGAGAGGUGAGUGGAACUGCGAGUGUAGAGGUGAAAAUUCGUAGAUAUUCGCAAGAACACCAGUGGCGAAGGCGGCUCACUGGCCCGGUACGUGACGCUGAGGUGCGAAAGCGUGGG
rnacentral:rRNA from 1 species